rnacentral:lncRNA from 1 species
UUCUCUCUUCCAAAAGUCAUUUCUCAGGAGACUUCUCUUGAGACCUAACCCAUCUUCAUCAAGGUGACCAUCGUCUUGGAGAGCUUAUCAACGACUUUACCUUUUCAUUUCUUCUAGUUAAGAGUAUUGCACUAUGUGAGAGACUUGAGACUUGGGCAACAUCGGUACUGUUGAAGCACAUAAUACCAAAAUCGCUAACUUCUGAAGCACUAGGAGAAAUAGUUGCUUUCUUCUGAGGAUUUUCAGGUAUGUGAAUCUAUUAUGUUCUUGAAAAGUUGAUAUCUUCUAGGGUUUCUUCAUAUGCUUUGAUUCUUAUGUCAAAUUGAAUUGGUUACUUUCAUUCACCUAAGAAUCUGCUAGUUCAUUGCUUUAAUUCGUUUGGAAUCUGGUAGGGUUUUUUAUUUAUUUAUGAACUUGGGUGAAUCUGCUAGUUAUUUGCUUUAAUUCAUUUGGAAUCUGGUAGGGUUUUUUCUUCAUUUAUGAAAAGUUGAUAUCUUGUAGAGAACGAAUACAUAGGAUGCAUAGUUGAUUGUUUUAUCAUUACUGUCGAUAUUGUUUCUUCGUAAAUGUUGUUUUUCUGAUACUAUGGCUUUAAUUGCAGACUAGUGCAAGUUCAUUACUGCCAUAUAUAACUAUGUGAUUUUAAUACCUAAUUGCAAAUGGAGAACGAAAGAAAAUUUAUUAUCUAGUAUAUUUCCGUUCUCUGAAGCUCAAAAGAAAAAAAGAACAUGAAAAACAUUCUCUGCCUUGGGAAUAAGGACAGACUGGGAUAACUGGGUGCGGUCCAUGCUGUGGAUGGGCUUGUUUGAGAUUCAGGG